CAGUAGCCACGGUAAUACAGAGGGUGCAAGCGUUAAUCGGAUUUACUGGGCGUAAAGGGCGCGUAGGUGGUUAUUUAAGUGAGAUGUGAAAGCCCCGGGCUUAACCUGGGAACUGCAUCUUAUACUGGGUAACUGGAGUGCAGUAGAGGGUAGUGGAAUUUCCGGUGUAGCGGUGAAAUGCGUAGAUAUCGGAAGGAACACCAGUGGCGAAGGCGGCUACCUGGACUGAGACUGACACUGAGGCGCGAGAGCGUGGGGAGCAAACAGGAUUAGAUACCCGUGUAGUCCCUGUCUCUUAUAC
rnacentral:rRNA from 1 species